ensembl:lncRNA
CGACUCUUUAAGACCCCAUGGACAGUAGCCUACCAGGUUCCACUGUCCAUGGGAUUUUCCAGGCAAGAAUACUGGAGUGGGCUGUCAUUUCCUUCUACAGCGGAUCUUCCCAACCCAGGGAUCGAACCCAGGUCUCCUGCAUUGCAGACAGACGGUUUACCGUCUGAGCCACCAGGGAAGCCCACUUGCUUAUCACACGUACCUCCUCUUGAAAAAUAAAAAGACAUCAAGCAGGACUGUUCUUAGAAAGGAUGGGAUUCCUAUGUCACGUUGUCACUUCAGUACAUGGAUCAGCUGCCACGGAAGACAGGAGACACACAUCGACGCUGAGCGUCUCCCUGGAGUGAGUACCACGGGGUUUCAGUGACAGAGGAGUGCAAAGGGGCUCUAAUGCAACAAGAAACCUUUGGAAAAAGGUUAUUUUAAAAUCCAUGCUGACAAUGAACUUGUUCUUAAGCAUAAUUAAUGGAAGAAACACACUGUAGGAAUCAUUUGUAGCUGAAAUUAGCUGAAAUCCAAAGCUCCUUGGGAGUUUCUGGCAUUUGAAAGUGUAGACUGUUGCCAAGUUCAAGGAGCAGUUCAUUAGCUAGGUAAACUUCUGGAGUACUUGUGUACCCUGUCAACCAAGGCAUUAAAGAGAGGAGCCCAUUUUUUUAGACACCAGCUUUCUCUUUUUGAAAGCUGUUCAAUUCCAAAAGCAAAAUUCUAAAAGAGAAUACCAGAAUAGAAAUGAAUAGAGGCAGGUCUGAGAGGAAUGACAUUACCAGUUAAAAUAAUGAAAUUGCUCCCUCUGUUUAGAAGAAAAACCAGUCUGGCGAGGUUGGGAAAUUUGGGGAUGAACAGCGAAGAUGUAUUGCUUUGAGUAUCUUUGUUGAUAGGUAAAACAUGUGAUCCACUUAUAGUAAUUAUAUGAAUUAAUUUUUGUUGAUAAUUAUUGUUAAGGAAAAAGGGUUAGCUUUAGCAUUUCAAAUUGACUGGGACAGUGGUUAAAACAGGAGACCUAGGUUAUGACUUCUUUUUAAAAGGUCAUAUCAUAUCCGUGAAAGUUUGUAGGUUAGGUUGUUUGUAGCACAUAGUAGGCAUCUUUUAAAGGAAAAUAGGGAAAUCAAAUUGGUGAGGUAAGUAAAAGAUCAUGUAAGAAGUGGGCACAAUUUUUUUCUAACAGAAAAUUUAUUUUAGAAAGAUGGCUUUCUACUUACUCAAAUGUUUCUUUACUGAGGACAAUACAUGACUAUUAAGUAAAUUGUCUCCUUCAGAGCUGUAAAUGUUUAAGAGAUUACACCUGAUGUGUCAGACCAGGAAAUAUCCCAGAAUGUUUCUAGGAGAUAUAAAAAUGUUCCCAGCAAAUAAGUUUAUGCUCAGAAAUGAUUAUUACAUGUAUUAGUUGGCCUAAAAUUUUGAUAGUGUGCUCUGUCUAAACUCUUAGCUUUUGAGACUCUAGAUCCAAACUUAUAUCACAUACUCUAAGUUUUGGGGCAAACUUUGACUUUAUUCUCCUUAUGUGCCCACCUCCCAUAACAUUUAUUGUAGCCUUCAGAAUUCACUUUGUGCAAAUGGAUAACUUGAUUUAAAAGUUUAAUUCAUAAUUAAGUUUAUUUUGUGUGAUUGUAUCUGAAGAUGACUUGAAAGCAGAUGUUGAAACCUGCUUUCAUGUUGAGAGGGUAACAGGCAGGAAGGCCAGGGGUCUCCAAAUAGAGGAAAUAGCCUGCAAGUGUCAGACAUUUUUAUCUCUCUUAAGCGGCAGGAGGAAACAAACUAGCAAUAUUUUUUCCUUCUCUAUACAAAUUUAAAGGGAGGUUUCUCUUAAAAUAUUGUGUUGCCAUAAUGACACCUGGCUUCGCCUGAAGUUAGCUAUUCUCGAGUCUAGAGAUAACCAAUGCCUUUUUCUUAUGGAAAUGUUUGUCUUAAGCUAUGCUAAUGUACUAUGCCUUUACCCCAAACUCUGUCUCCAAGUCGGUUCUGCCUCUUGGCCCAGAACCUACUUGACAAACCAGUGUGGAUAUUGUUCCCCUAAUCUAUGUAAAUGAAACUAUUUGUAUGGUGGUCUGCCCUUCUUCAAGAUUCAAGUUAAUCAUUUUAUGGCCCAGGAUAAACCAUUUAUCCCAAAAUGCAUCUUAUGGGUGAGGGGCCUGGUGCCAUUCUGAAUUUUAAGAUAUUCCUUUCUUUCAUUAACAGACUGCUAGUGACUAUAUAACAUCCAGCUAAAUACUAGCAGGGGGGUACUCUUUCUGCCCCCUUCUGAUGCCUAUGUCAGAAGCUUUCUCUAUCUCCUUUAUACUUUAAUAAAACUUUAUUACACAAAAGCUCUGAGCGAUCA